UGCAAAUGAUUAAUAAUGUGAGGAUGGUAU
rnacentral:piRNA from 1 species